GUUAAAAAGCUCGUAGUUGGAUUUCUGUCGAAAACGGCCGGUCCGCACUAUGUGCGUGUAUCUGGUUCGGUUUUGGCAUCCUCUUGAAGAACGUGUCUGCGCUUGAUUGCGUGGCGCGGUAUUCAAGACUUUUACUUUGAGGAAAUUAGAGUGUUCACGGCAGGCAAGCGCCUUGAAUAUAUUAGCAUGGAAUAAUAAUAUAGGAUUUUGGUUCUAUUUUGUUGGUUUCUAGGACUAGAAUAAUGAUUAAUAGGGAUAAUUGGGGGCAUUUGUAUUAACGCGUCAGAGGUGGAAUUCUUGGAUUGCGUUACGACAAACUACUGCGAAAGCAUUUGCCAAGGAUGUUUUCAUUGAUCAAGAACGAAAGUAUGGGGAUCGAAGAUGAUUAGAUACCGUCGUAGUCUAUACCAUAAACUAUGCCAACUAGAGAUUGGAGGUCGUUCUUUUUAUGACUCCUUCAGCACCUUAUGAGAAAUCAAAGUCUUUGGGUUCCGGGGGGAGUAUGGUCGCAAGGCUGAAACUUAAAGGAAUUGACGGAAGGGCACCACCAGGAGUGGAGCCUGCGGCUUAAUUUGACUCAACACGGGGAAACUCACCAGGUCCAGACAUAGUAAGGAUUGACAGAUUGAUAGCUCUUUCUUGAUUCUAUGGGUGGUGGUGCGUGGCCGUUCUUAGUUGGUGGAGUGAUUUGUCUGGUUAAUUCCGUUAAC
rnacentral:rRNA from 1 species